GACGAACGCUGGCGGCGUGCUUAACACAUGCAAGUCGAGCGAUGAAGCACCUUCGGGUGUGAAUUAGCGGCGAACGGGUGAGGAACACGUGAGAAAUCUGCCUUCAACUCUGGGAUAACUCCGUGAAAACGGGGCUAAUACCGGAUAUGAAACCCGCGGGCAUCCGCGGGUUUGGAAAGGUUUUCGGUUGAGGAUGAUCUCGCGGCCUAUCAGCUUGUUGGUGAGGUAAUGGCUCACCCAGGCGACGGCGGGUAGCCGGGCUGCGAGGGCGAACGGCCACACUGGGACUGAGACACGGCCCAGACUCCUACGGGAGGCAGCAGUGGGGAAUAUUGGGCAAUGGAGGAAACACUGACCCAGCGACACCGCGUGCGGGAUGAAGGCCUUCGGGUUGUAAACCGCUUUCAGCAGGGAAGAAGCGAAAGUGACGGUACCUGCAGAAGAAGCACCGGCUAACUAUGUGCCAGCCGCCGCGGUAA
rnacentral:rRNA from 1 species